GUGACCUGGAACAAGAAGUAAACAAAUAAAACCGAAAUUGUGUAAAAACCAAGUGUUGAACCUAAAUACGAUUAAAAACCACUGAAAAGUCCACCUAUUUUCACUCAACAACAAGAUAAAACACUUUAAAACAUACAAACAAUUUUUUCAAGCAAUGAAAAGUUAGUUACAAGCUCAAAUAGAGAGACAAUAACACAAAAAGUGUUGUAAUAACAACUUUUAACAGGACCAUAAACCAUUUUUAAAGUCCACUUAUUUCUCUCAACAGGAACCAAAAAACAAUUUAAAAAUCAUAAGCAAUUUUUAGAAAUACAAAAGACGUAGUUAGAACGUGAAAUAAAAAAUCAAGUUUGUCAAAAUACUGCUAAAAAAACACCCCGCAUUUUCGGCAAGCAACACAAAAUUCAACACAACUCAACACAAGCCACGAAAAUACUUCUAAAGCAAAUAAUUAUUUUUAUAAACCAUAAAAAACAUGCUAUACCAGCAGAAUAAAGAAGUUAAGAAAAAAAUAAAAAAAUAUUGGAACCCACAGGUUGAAGCAGGUUGGCAGAGGUAGCCAGGCAUCAUGGCGGCCCUUGUCAGUGGAGAGAACGGCCGCUAUUUUGCCUGUUAUUCUUCCAUCGUAACUAAAUGAGAUAGUAAUUGACGAACACAACACACCACGUGGAGAGAAGCAAGGUGUGGAGUACCCAAGCCUCUCACAGUCCAUGCUAGUAGACUCACCCUGCAUGUGGAGAUCUCCCAAAAUGCACGGAGGUUAUUCCAGAGCUGCAGGACAGAGUACUUGAGGCCAUUGGUGAACAGAAAGCUGAGGUUGAACAAAGCCAAGAAUUGAUAGCUGCCCAAGGUGUAAGCAAGAUUCACAAUGAUGAGGUCAUUGUGACGUGUGCAAUGUGUCCACUGGUCUUGGCCUUCCUGACCAAGGCAGCCACACAAAGGAAAUUCCACGUUAUUGUUGCCGAACGUGCCCCUAAAUAUGAUGGUCACCCAGUGGCAAAAGCUUUAUGUACUGCUGGAAUUGAGACAACAUUAAUUCAAGACUCUGCAGUGUUCCCCAUCAUGUCACGUGUCAACAAGGUCAUCAAAGGUCAUCGUUGGCACCGAGACGGUGGUGACCAACGGAGGCAUUGAGACCUUUGUUGGUGCAGCCUCUCUUGCCUCACCACCAAAGUUUUAUUCUGUUCCACUGUAUGUGUGCACUCCCACAUACAAAUUUAGCUUGAUGGGCUGUGAAGAAAUAAGCCACCAAACCACCACUUCUAUUAUCCCAGAGGGAACAAAGUUUUGGCCGUCUGUAAAUACUGCGCUGACUCAGCUAGAUUACGUUCCUCCAGAAAAUGUCACCAGUUUGAUAACUAACAAUCGAGGUACUGCACCAUCCUACGUGUACCGGCAGCUUAGCGAACUGUACCGUCCCACUUCUUGUGUAACAAGAAGGUAACAGCUUUAAUCCUUGCAAAUAAGGAAUAAGAGAAAAGAGACACACCUGCCAUUUGUACUGUUAUGCUGUAGUGUUCUGUCAUUUUUUUCCUCUUUUAUCCUAGAACCAUUUUUGGUCAUUCAUGUUUCUAAAAAUUAUUAUACAAAAAUGUUGAGCUUAAUAUGUUUGGUGUAGUUUUUUGUAACAUGUGUUAUUGUUAAUGUGUGUGGUUCCCCUCAGGAAGAAUGUUGCAGUAUUAGCAGUAAUGUUACAGCCAAUGGAAGUGUCUGUAUUGUGCUUUGGUGGGAGGUUAAUUUGAUGUAUUUUUAGAGUUGUGCAGGAUAUUAUAGCAAGCCCUCAAAAUAAAGAAAAUAACUAUAGAAAACA